UAUAAUAUUUUAUACUUUUAUUAUUGUAUUAUACUAUAAAUAUAAUAUAUAUUACAUUAUAUCAUAAUACAUCAAUAUGUUAUGUUAAAUAAUUUAAUAUUAUGUUAUAUUACCAAAUAUUAUUUUACUCUAAUAAUUAUAUUACUAUUAUGCGAUAUUAACAUAAAAUUUUUAUAUUACAAUAUUAUACUAUAUCGUAUAUUUAUGUAUUAAUUUAUGUUAUGUUUUAUUAUGUUCUGUUGUAUAAUACUAUGCAAUGUCCUUUAUGGUAAUUUUGUCAUACAAAA
rnacentral:lncRNA from 1 species